AGAAGAUCGAAGCUUCUAGUAAGAGCUGCUAACUCUUAUAACAGCGGUUUAAAUCCGUUGGCUCUUCUG
rnacentral:tRNA from 1 species